AUGACACCGACGAGAACAAUGAAAACAGUCACAACUACGACAACAACACCAACAACAAAAACAAUGACAACAUCAACAAAUAUGACAACAUCGACAACAAUGACGACUACAAGAACAACAAUGACGACGACAAGAACAACAAUGAAGACUACAAGAACAACAAUGACGACAACAACAACAACAACAACAAUGACAACAAC
rnacentral:lncRNA from 1 species